UACAGGAGGUCCCAAGCGUUGUUCGGAUUCACUGGGCGUAAAGGGUGCGUAGGUGGCGAGGUAAGUUUGAUGUGAAAUCUCCGGGCUUAACCCGGAAAUGGCAUUGAAUACUAUCUUGCUUGAGGGUUGGAGGGGGGACUGGAAUUCUCGGUGUAGCAGUGAAAUGCGUAGAUAUCGAGAGGAACACCAGUGGCGAAGGCGAGUCCCUGGACAACUCCUGACACUGAGGCACGAAAGCUAGGGGAGCAAACAGG
rnacentral:rRNA from 1 species